AGAGUUUGAUCCUGGCUCAGGAUGAACGCUAGCUACAGGCUUAACACAUGCAAGUCGAGGGGCAGCAUGGUCUUAGCUUGCUAAGGCCGAUGGCGACCGGCGCACGGGUGAGUAACACGUAUCCAACCUGCCGUCUACUCUUGGACAGCCUUCUGAAAGGAAGAUUAAUACAAGAUGGCAUCAUGAGUCCGCAUGUUCACAUGAUUAAAGGUAUUCCGGUAGACGAUGGGGAUGCGUUCCAUUAGAUAGUAGGCGGGGUAACGGCCCACCUAGUCUUCGAUGGAUAGGGGUUCUGAGAGGAAGGUCCCCCACAUUGGAACUGAGACACGGUCCAAACUCCUACGGGAGGCAGCAGUGAGGAAUAUUGGUCAAUGGGCGAGAGCCUGAACCAGCCAAGUAGCGUGAAGGAUGACUGCCCUAUGUGUUGUAAACUUCUUUUAUAAAGGAAUAAAGUCGGGUAUGCAUACCCGUUUGCAUGUACUUUAUGAAUAAGGAUCGGCUAACUCCGUGCCAGCAGCCGCGGUAAUACGGAGGAUCCGAGCGUUAUCCGGAUUUAUUGGGUUUAAAGGGAGCGUAGAUGGAUGUUUAAGUCAGUUGUGAAAGUUUGCGGCUCAACCGUAAAAUUGCAGUUGAUACUGGAUAUCUUGAGUGCAGUUGAGGCAGGCGGAAUUCGUGGUGUAGCGGUGAAAUGCUUAGAUAUCACGAAGAACUCCGAUUGCGAAGGCAGCCUGCUAAGCUGCAACUGACAUUGAGGCUCGAAAGUGUGGGUAUCAAACAGGAUUAGAUACCCUGGUAGUCCACACGGUAAACGAUGAAUACUCGCUGUUUGCGAUAUACAGCAAGCGGCCAAGCGAAAGCGUUAAGUAUUCCACCUGGGGAGUACGCCGGCAACGGUGAAACUCAAAGGAAUUGACGGGGGCCCGCACAAGCGGAGGAACAUGUGGUUUAAUUCGAUGAUACGCGAGGAACCUUACCCGGGCUUAAAUUGCAGAUGAAUUACGGUGAAAGCCGUAAGCCGCAAGGCAUCUGUGAAGGUGCUGCAUGGUUGUCGUCAGCUCGUGCCGUGAGGUGUCGGCUUAAGUGCCAUAACGAGCGCAACCCUUGUUGUCAGUUACUAACAGGUUCCGCUGAGGACUCUGACAAGACUGCCAUCGUAAGAUGUGAGGAAGGUGGGGAUGACGUCAAAUCAGCACGGCCCUUACGUCCGGGGCUACACACGUGUUACAAUGGGGGGUACAGAGGGCCGCUACCACGCGAGUGGAUGCCAAUCCCAAAAACCUCUCUCAGUUCGGACUGGAGUCUGCAACCCGACUCCACGAAGCUGGAUUCGCUAGUAAUCGCGCAUCAGCCACGGCGCGGUGAAUACGUUCCCGGGCCUUGUACACACCGCCCGUCAAGCCAUGGGAGCCGGGGGUACCUGAAGUGCGUAACCGCGAGGAGCGCCCUAGGGUAAAACUGGUUACUGGGGCUAAGUCGUAACAAGGUA
rnacentral:rRNA from 1 species